rnacentral:rRNA from 1 species
AGAGUUUGAUCCUGGCUCAGAGUGAACGCUGGCGGCGUGCCUAACACAUGCAAGUUGAGCGAAGUGGUAGCUGUAGCAAUACAGUGUACGCUUAGCGGCAGACGGGUGAGUAACACGUAGGGAACCUUCCUCUUAGCGGGGGAUAGCCAGCCGAAAGGUUGGGUAAUACCGCGUACGAUUCGUUGGAGGCAUCUUCGACGAAUGAAACAUCCGCAAGGAUGGCUGGGAGAGGGCCCUGCGGCCUAUCAGCUAGUUGGUGAGGUAACGGCUCACCAAGGCUACGACGGGUAACCGGCCUGAAAGGGCGAACGGUCACACUGACACUGAGACACGGGUCAGACACCUACGGGUGGCAGCAGUGAGGAAUCUUGGACAAUGGGGGCAACCCUGAUCCAGCGACGCCGCGUGGAGGACGAAGGUCUUCGGAUUGUAAACUCCUUUUGUUCGGGAAUAAAAAAUCUAUGGAAACAUGGAGACUGAAUGUACCGGAUGAAUAAGCCACGGCUAACUUCGUGCCAGCAGCCGCGGUAAUACGAAGGUGGCAAGCGUUACUCGGAAUUACUAGGCGUAAAGGGCAGGUAGGUGGUUUGGUAAGUCUGUUGUGUAAGCUCCCGGCUUAACUGGGAGAGGUCAACAGAAACUACCAGACUUGAGUAUAGGAGAGGGUACUGGAAUUCCCGGUGUAGCGGUGAAAUGCGCAGAGAUCGGGAGGAACACCAAUGGCGAAAGCAGGUACCUGGACUAUUACUGACACUAAGCUGCGAAAGCUAGGGGAGCAAACAGGAUUAGAUACCCUAGUAGUCC